rnacentral:lncRNA from 1 species
UCUGGAGAAAACGACGCCGUUGCGUGUCUACUAUUCAUCACCUUCUUCAUGGAUUAAUUAAGCAGAAAGGAAACUGCCUCAAACCGGUUGCAAUCGUGUACCACGUCUCCUACACAAUGCAUCUCCAAAUAUGCCUCACCCCCACGAUCAUUGUCUGGGGAGAAAGAGAGGACAUUAAGAGAAAAGACCACAAAAAGGGGGGGACGAGCGCACUGGACGGG